rnacentral:rRNA from 1 species
UACGUAGGUGGCAAGCGUUGUCCGGAUUUACUGGGCGUAAAGAGCGCGCAGGCGGUCGUUCAAGUCGCGUGUGAAAGCCCCCGGCUCAACUGGGGAGGGUCACGCGAUACUGAUCGACUCGAAGGCAGGAGAGGGAAGUGGAAUUCCCGGUGUAGUGGUGAAAUGCGCAGAUAUCAGGAGGAACACCAAUGGCGAAGGCAGCACUCUGGGACGGUACUGACGCUGAGACGCGAAAGCGUGGGGAGCAAACAGG